CCUACGGGAGGCAGCAGUGCGGAAUAUUGGUCAAUGGACGAGAGUCUGAACCAGCCAAGUAGCGUGAAGGAUGACUGCCCUAUGGGUUGUAAACUUCUUUUAUAAAGGAAUAAAACGAGGCACGUGUGCCUUUUUGCAUGUACGUUAUGAAUAAGGAUCGACUAACUCCGUGCCCGCAGCCGCGGUAAUACGGAGGAUCCGAGCGUUAUCCGGAUUUAUUGGGUUUAAAGGGAGCGUAGAUGGGUUGUUAAGUCAGUUGUGAAAGUUUGCGGCUCAACCGUAAAAUUGCAAUUGAUACUGGCAGUCUUGAGUACAGUUGAGGUAGGCGGAAUUCGUGGUGUAGCGGUGAAAUGCUUAGAUAUCACGAAGAACCCCGAUUGCGAAGGCAGCUUACUAAACUGUGACUGACAUUGAUGCUCGAAAGUGUGGGUAUCAAACAGGAUUAGAUACCCCGGUAGUC
rnacentral:rRNA from 1 species